GCACAAGCGGUGGAGCAUGUGGUUUAAUUCGACGCAACGCGAAGAACCUUACCUGGGCUCGAAAUGUUAUGGACCGGAGUAGAAAUAUUCUUUCCCAGCAAUGGGCCGUAAUAUAGGUGCUGCAUGGCUGUCGUCAGCUCGUGUCGUGAGAUGUUGGGCUAAGUCCCGCAACGAGCGCAACCCUUAUCCCCAGUUGCCAUCAUUAAGUUGGGCACUCUGGUGAAACCGCCUCGGAUAACGGGGAGGAAGGUGGGGAUGACGUCAAGUCCUCAUGGCCUUUAUGUCCAGGGCUACACACGUGCUACAAUGGCCGGUACAAACCGUCGCAAACCCGUGAGGGGGAGCUAAUCGGAAAAAGCCGGCCUCAGUUCGGAUUACAGUCUGCAACUCGACUGUAUGAAGCUGGAAUCGCUAGUAAUCGCGGAUCAGAAUGCCGCGGUGAAUACGUUCCCGGGC
rnacentral:rRNA from 1 species